UACGUAGGGUGCAAGCGUUGUCCGGAAUUAUUGGGCGUAAAGAGCUCGUAGGCGGUUUGUCGCGUCUGCUGUGAAAACCCGAGGCUCAACCUCGGGCCUGCAGUGGGUACGGGCAGACUAGAGUGCGGUAGGGGAGAUUGGAAUUCCUGGUGUAGCGGUGGAAUGCGCAGAUAUCAGGAGGAACACCAAUGGCGAAGGCAGAUCUCUGGGCCGUAACUGACGCUGAGGAGCGAAAGCACGGGGAGCGAACAGG
rnacentral:rRNA from 1 species